rnacentral:lncRNA from 1 species
GCCAGAUAAGGGAAGCAGGCCUCCGAAGCCAGCAGUGGCAACCCACUUGGGUCCCUUUCAAUGCUGUGGAAGCGUUGUUCUUUCACUCUUCUCAAUAAAUCUUGCUGCUGCUCACUCUUUGGGUCUGCCCCGCUGUUAUGAGCUGUAACACUCACAGCCAGUGUCUGCAGUUUCACUCCUGAAGCCAGCAAGACCACAAACCCACAGGGCGGGACAAACAACUCCGGACAGGAGGAAUGAACAACUCUGGACGCGCCACUUCUAUGAACUUUUAUGAACUGUAACACUCACCGCAAAGGUCUGCAGCUUCACCCCUGAGGCCAGGGAGACCACGAACCCACCGGAAGGAAUGAACAACUCCAGACGCACUGCCUUUAAGAGCUGUAACACUUACCACGGAUGUCUGCAGCUUCACUCCUGAAGUCAGCGAGACCACAAACCCAACAGAAGGAAGAAACUCCCGACACAUCUGAACAUCUGAAGGAACAAACUCUGGACACACCAUCUUUAAGAACUGUAACACUCACCGUGAGGGUCAACCGCUUCAUUCUUGAAGUCAGCCAGACCAAGAACCCACCAAUUCCGAGUCUCACUUUGUUGCCUAAGCUAGAGUGCAGCGUCGUGAUCAAGGCUCACUGCAGCCUCAACAUCCUGAUCCCCAGUGUUCCUCCCACCUCAACCUCCCAAGUAGCUGGGACCACAGUCUAUCUGAAUCAUGUUAUUGGACCAUGAGAGCAAGCAGCUGGAUCUCAUUCUGUCCAGGUACAAAUAUACUAAAUUAACAUAAGUAGCAUAUCAUAUGUGUCAUAUGUGUGCUGAAUAUGUUAUAUUUAAUAACUAAAAAACCUUAAAACCUUACUUUUUUGGUACUUUUAAAUACCAAGAAUUAAUUAAUUAAUUAAUUAAUUUAGCUUGUGUCCAUUUCCUCUUACAAGUAUAUAGGAAACUUUUUACUCUCUGAAUCUUUAUAAAAUUGCAAGUCUUGGUGAACAGUAAUUGUCUUCUUGGAUAAUAUUUAUGCAAAGAGUGUUUGGAGACAUCUAUAUUCUGGAUAAAACUAAUUAUUUAAUACAGUACUUUUUUUAAAGGACAUGCUAUUUUAACUUCACUUCAGCAAAGUUUAUCUGUAGGCACUUAUAUAUGCACUUAAAACAAAAUUUAAAUAAAUGAGCAUGAUUUUUUUCCUUACUUUAAGUGGACUGGCAUCUUUCCCAUAUGUUUUGCAUGUAACAACAUUCCCAAAAAGUUAAGUGCAUCUAGGAUACACCUUAUUUAAUAACCUUAGCACCAGCUGCUCAUAUUCACUGCCAGAAAUCAUGCUUUUUUGUACACAGCCUAAAGGCAAAAAAAAAUAAAAAGUGAUUUAGAAGCUGCUACUAGGCUGAAAGGUAAAUCAGUGUUCCACAUAAUUCAAAACUUACUUUUUAUAAAAAAGCAAAUAAAAGCACAAAAGUAAUUUUAGCUGAAUAUUUAAAAAGUAAUUCUAUAUGGUAUGACACUUACUACAACAGAAACUUUUGCUUACUUUCAUAGGACUCCUGGAAACAGCAGCUCUAACAAAAUUGUCUUCAAUAAAUAAGUUUUUUUGCAUCACAUUUGUGUAUGUCCUGAAUGUUCUGAGCCCUUCAGAUUUGACUCAUAUUCAUGCUAAAAGAAAAAAUGCAAAUGAAAAUUGUAUAGCUAAUUAUGAGAAAAAUAAAGCAUCAUAAGAAAACCA